AUUGAACGCUGGCGGAAUGCUUUACACAUGCAAGUCGAACGGCAGCACGGGGCAACCUGGUGGCGAGUGGCGAACGGGUGAGUAAUACAUCGGAACGUGCCCAAGCGUGGGGGAUAACGUAGCGAAAGUUACGCUAAUACCGCAUACGAACUACGGAUGAAAGCGGGGGAUCGCAAAACCUCGCGCGAAGGGAGCGGCCGAUGGCUGAUUAGGUAGUUGGUGGGGUAAAAGCUCACCAAGCCAACGAUCUGUAGCUGGUCAGAGAGGACGACCAGCCACACUGGGACUGAGAGACGGCCUAGACUCCUGCGGGGUGCAGCAGUGGGGAAUUUUGGACAAUGGGCGCAAGCCUGAUCCUGCCACUCCGCGUGCAGUAUGACGGCCUUCUGCUUGUAAACUGCUUUUGUACUGAACGAAACGGCUCUCUCUAAUACAGGUGGUUAAUGACGGUACCGUAAGCAUAAGCACCGGCUAACUCCGUGCCAGCAGCCGCAGUAACAC
rnacentral:rRNA from 1 species